rnacentral:rRNA from 1 species
AAUCAACGCUGGCGGCGCGCUUAACACAUGCAAGUCGAACGAGAAAGGGGAGCAAUCCCUGAGUAAAGUGGCGUACGGGUGAGUAACACGUGGGUAAUCUACCUUUUGGUGGGGGAUAACCUUGGGAAACCGGGGCUAAUACCGCAUAAUCUCGCAAGAGCAAAGGAGCAAUUCGCCGAAAGAAGAGCCCGCGGCUGAUUAGCUAGUUGGUAGGGUAAUGGCCUACCAAGGCUUUGAUCGGUAGCCGGCCUGAGAGGGCACACGGCCACA